rnacentral:rRNA from 1 species
AACCCGGCGAAAGUCGGACUAAUACCGCAUGAAGCAGGGGCCCCGCCAUGGGGAUAUUUGCUAAAGAUUCAUCGCUGAUAGAUAGGCAUGCGUUCCAUUAGGCAGUUGGCGGGGUAACGGCCCACCAAACCGACGAUGGAUAGGGGUUCUGAGAGGAAGGUCCCCCACAUUGGAACUGAGACACGGUCCAAACUCCUACGGGAGGCAGCAUG